CCUACGGGAGGCAGCAGUGGGGAAUAUUGGACAAUGGGGGGAACCCUGAUCCAGCGACGCCGCGUGAGUGAAGAAGUAUUUCGGUAUGUAAAGCUCUAUCAGCAGGGAAGAAAGAAAUGACGGUACCUGACUAAGAAGCCCCGGCUAACUACGUGCCAGCAGCCGCGGGAAUACGUAGGGGGCAAGCGUUAUCCGGAUUUACUGGGUGUAAAGGGAGCGUAGACGGCAGUGCAAGUCUGGAGUGAAAGGCGGGGGCUCAACCCCCGGACUGCUCUGGAAACUGUACGGCUGGAGUGCAGGAGAGGUAAGUGGAAUUCCUAGUGUAGCGGUGAAAUGCGUAGAUAUUAGGAGGAACACCAGUGGCGAAGGCGGCUUACUGGACUGUAACUGACGUUGAGGCUCGAAAGCGUGGGGAGCAAACAGGAUUAGAUACCCCAGUAGUC
rnacentral:rRNA from 1 species